CAACGCGCUUAUUUAUAUUUUUUGAU
rnacentral:piRNA from 1 species